rnacentral:rRNA from 1 species
UACGAAGGGGGCUAGCGUUGCUCGGAAUCACUGGGCGUAAAGCGCACGUAGGCGGAUCUUUAAGUCAGGGGUGAAAUCCCAAGGCUCAACCUUGGAACUGCCUUUGAUACUGGGGAUCUCGAGUCCGGAAGAGGUGAGUGGAACUGGCGAGUGUAGAGGUGAAAUUCGUAGAUAUUCGCAAGAACACCAGUGGCGAAGGCGGCUCACUGGUCCGGUACUGACGCUGAGGUGCGAAA